CAGCACCUCAAGUUGUCAGGAUGAUUAUUGGGCCUAAAGCAUCCGUAGCCGGCUCUGUUAGUUUUCGGUUAAAUCUGUACGCUUAACGUACAGGCUGCCGGGAAUACUGCAGCGCUAGGGAGUGGGAGAGGUAGACGGUACUCGGUAGGAAGGGGUAAAAUCCUUUGAUCUAUUGAUGACCACCUGUGGCGAAGGCGGUCUACCAGAACACGUCCGACGGUGAGGGAUGAAAGCUGGGGGAGCAAACCGGAUUAGAUACCCGAGUAGUCC
rnacentral:rRNA from 1 species